rnacentral:rRNA from 1 species
GAGUUUGAUCCUGGCUCAGGACGAACGCUGGCGGCGUGCCUAAUACAUGCAAGUCGAACGAAGCUUUCUUUCACCGAAUGCUUGCAUUCACCGAAAGAAGCUUAGUGGCGAACGGGUGAGUAACACGUAGGCAACCUGCCCAAAAGAGGGGGAUAACACUUGGAAACAGGUGCUAAUACCGCAUAACCAUGAACACCGCAUGAUGUUCAUGUAAAAGACGGCUUUUGCUGUCACUUUUGGAUGGGCCUGCGGCGUAUUAACUUGUUGGUGGGGUAACGGCCUACCAAGGUGAUGAUACGUAGCCGAACUGAGAGGUUGAUCGGCCACAUUGGGACUGAGACACGGCCCAAACUCCUACGGGAGGCAGCAGUAGGGAAUCUUCCACAAUGGACGAAAGUCUGAUGGAGCAACGCCGCGUGAAUGAAGAAGGCCUUCGGGUCGUAAAAUUCUGUUGUCAGAGAAGAACGUGCGUGAGAGUAACUGUUCACGUAUUGACGGUAUCUGACCAGAAAGCCACGGCUAACUACGUGCCAGCAGCCGCGGUAAUACGUAGGUGGCGAGCGUUGUCCGGAUUUAUUGGGCGUAAAGGGAACGCAGGCGGUCUUUUAAGUCUGAUGUGAAAGCCUUCGGCUUAACCGAAGUAGUGCAUUGGAAACUGGAAGACUUGAGUGCAGAAGAGGAGAGUGGAACUCCAUGUGUAGCGGUGAAAUGCGUAGAUAUAUGGAAGAACACCAGUGGCGAAAGCGGCUCUCUGGUCUGUAACUGACGCUGAGGUUCGAAAGCGUGGGUAGCAAACAGGAUUAGAUACCCUGGUAGUCCACGCCGUAAACGAUGAGUGCUAAGUGUUGGAGGGUUUCCGCCCUUCAGUGCUGCAGCUAACGCAUUAAGCACUCCGCCUGGGGAGUACGGUCGCAAGACUGAAACUCAAA